AUAUCCUGCUGUAAACAUUAUUCUGGCUUAAAUGUUAUCCUGUAUAUAACAUUCUUUUAUUGUUGUACGAUAAUUACCGUAGACAAGUGUGAAAAAUUGUUACCCAUGUUUGACAAGUAUUUCAUAGAAUAUUGUGUAAUAAUGUACAGUAGAUACCCGCAGACAAUUGAUUUUAAUAAUUUAAAAUAUAUUAUGUAAAUGUAGUACAAUCAUACAAAAUAUAAUGACGACCGGUUGAUGAAAAUACGCUGUUAACUUGUUCUCUUUAUUUAGAAAAACGAAAUUAAGUUGUUAUGGAAGUAGGUGCCG
rnacentral:lncRNA from 1 species